rnacentral:rRNA from 1 species
GGGCCUACGGGGGGCAGCAGUGGGGAAUAUUGCACAAUGGGGGAAACCCUGAUGCAGCGACGCCGCGUGAGUGAAGAAGUAUUUCGGUACGUAAAGCUCUAUCAGCAGGGAAGAAAAAAAGUCCUUUGGACUUUGGACGGUACCUGACCAAGAAGCCCCGGCUAACUACGUGCCAGCAGCCGCGGUAAUACGUAGGGGGCAAGCGUUAUCCGGAUUUACUGGGUGUAAAGGGAGCGUAGGCGGCCUGGCAAGCCUGAUGUGAAAUACCGGGGCUCAACCCCGGGGCUGCAUUGGGAACUGCCAGG